rnacentral:rRNA from 1 species
AUGACGUGCUCCUCCAUGUCUCCCGCGAGUUCUUGGUGUGGCGAUCAUGGCUCCAGAGAGCAUAAAAUCGACAUCAUGGGUGCUGGUGGCAGAAUGACGGAGGAGCGGGAGAAGCAGGAGCUGCUCGGACGCGCUAGCGCCAGUGAGAUCUUCCAGCAUGCGCCGACGGACAAGCCGGCAUUCACGCUGGCCCAGAUCAAGGAGGCAAUCCCGCCUCACUGCUUCCAGUGCUCGUUGAUCAAGUCCUUCUCCUAUGUGGUCUAUGACCUCGUCAUCAGCGCGUCCCUCCUGUACGCCGCGUUGGUCUGGAUCCCAGCACUCUUGAGCAUGCAACAGCUGGGCGCCUGUCCGCUCUACUGGGUGCCUCAUUUUGAUUUUCUUACCUUGAGGGCUGCGACGAGGCAGACAGGUGGCGGGCGGCAACAAUAG